GCUCCCGCACUCUCCUCCCCCUCCUGCCUCUUCUCUUCCCCGCCUACUACUCCUGUCGCCGCCGCUGCCGCCGCCUCCGCUCCUGCUGUCGCCGCAUCGCCGCCCCAAACCCCUGCCGCAUCGGAGAGAAAUCCAUGGCGGUGGACAAGCCCGGCGGCGGCGGGGCCUCCUCCUCCUCGCACGCGUCCACCACAGACCGACCGCGUCAGCAAGAGGAGAGGAGCACCCGCCGCAGCGCGUCCUCAGUCCGGCCUCGACAAGAGAAGGGGAGCAGCAGCCGCGCUAGCUGGCGCGCACCUCGUCGCCACCUCUCCUCACCUUCUCCCAGGUUCCUGAUCUGGAGUGGGAGGGACGCACGCCGGCGAGGCCAGGCUACCCUUGACACGCAUAUGUAGAAUGUUCUCACUAUCAACUCUGGAAUAACUAGCAAGUAGUGGUGUCAAUGGCAUCCGUGGGAGCCAUUUUGGUGGCACAUGGACAUCACGUUCUGGAAUAAAGCCAUGGAACAAUAAAUAACUUGGCAACGGAUACCCUGUGGUCUACAAUUAUACUGUAAUUAUGUGUGCACUUUGGAUCUAUUGGAUGUCUGAAUGUAUUGUUAAUCGACAACUACUGAUGCAAAGGAGAUAUGUGUUGAGAGGCACAUGAAUACGCACGUGGGCUGUUUUUCAGCAUGGUAGUCUAAAAAACUGUGGUAUUCUCAGAAAAUGCUUUGCUAUCAAACAGGGCAAGUGCAGAUUUCCUUGAAUAUAGUUUAUUUUACAAUUGUGUUGCCAACGCGCUUCCUGUUUUAUCACCAUAAAAUAGUUCUAGGUGCUCAUAUAAAAUUUAGUGGCGUGUAUGGGUGAUUGUAGUGCAGUUUUGUUGAUCUGCUUGCAUUUUCAGCAUUAUAGUGUUGAUAUACUAUCUCAAUAAAACAGUGAAUACGUAUAAUAUGUACAAGCUACAUUCAAGUUAUGGCAGUGUGCCUGGGUAAGACAAACUGGUAAUCUUCUGCUAGCUGAAAAAAACUUGUUUCAUCUUUACAUGUGUUUCUUGUUGAAACUCUUUUUCGUCUUUGCAUGUGUUUCUUGCUGAAGCUCGUGAUUUUCAAGUUAUGGCAGCACAUAUGUCUACCCACUUGCAUGACUUCCGGAUGAAUUAGUAACUUUGUGUGGAGGUGGCACCACUACCUGCUGGUUGGUGUAAUGCCGUGCUUGACAGGGUGAUCUGCAAUUUCGAGUUUGUUUAAUGGCUUAAUGUCUAAGCACUCAUCCCCUUAUUCUGUUGUGUUGCUACCAACUUGGUUUGCAAGGAACAGAGCUUCAUCUGUGUACAUCAAGAUUGCUAAUUGCCAUCUGAAGGGUGAUAGUAAGCAUGAAGAUGCCUAAGCUUAUGAGGAAGCUGCAAACUGCGACCAAAAAUUCUCACUUCAGGGUACUCUCUUUCGAUCUCGAUCUCAGAGAGGAAACGAGGCAGCCACGGCCUCCUGCCCCCCCUCUCUCCCUCUCUCCCGUGCCUCCGUGCUGCCGCAGUACUCCCGCGCUGCACACCGCUGCUGCUCCCCAACGACGGCGCUCUGAUGGUGCUUGCUCGCCUGGUCGCCGCCUCGUCUCGCCCGAUCUUGAUAUCGUCUGGGGUGGCGCCGGCACCGCUCGACCGCGUCGUUGCCUCCUCUGCGUCAUGAGAAGUGCCACCAUUGCCUCCACCCCCACUGGGCAAGGAGGUCGAGGUGUUUGGGGGUUCGUGUUUCCUACACAGGCCAAAACACUAUUGGAGUUUGAAACCAGUCGUUUGGAGCAGAUCAGCUCAAAAGAGAUCCUUUGUACCAUUUGCAGACUACCCACCUUCCUCUGGAGAUUGACAGGCCUGGAGUCUCGCUCGCCUCUGUUUUCCCCCUAUGGACACACAUGAGACUCAGAUCUUGGCUCUUGUCGUAGAGGAAUCGAUAGCAAGAAUCAACCAGAGAAAGGAUGUACACAAGGUGUUUAAAGAUUUACUUUGUUCCAGCGCCUACUUUGGAUCAUAGGAAACUAAAAAAAAGAGGGCGCCGCCACCACCGUCAUCAGGCUGGCCCACAUCCACGCGCUGCUCGGCGUCACCAGGUCACCGGCACAACUCCUCACGCCCAGGUCGUUCAACAUUUUCAGCCGCUUUUGGUACGCCACAUUUAGAGUCUUUCUUUCCCAUUUUACCGUGUUUGCAUGGUAAGAUGUUUGGUCGGAUUUGAAGGUUCGUAGCCUUGACUCCAAAGCUUCAAACUCUUAUAGAAAUUAGAACUGAGGGCCUUUUAAAAUGAGUCCUGCAUAAUAGUGUUGUUCAGUGGUAUGCAGAUUUUUUUUUGUCUGAUCGGCUAUCCUUGGUGCUGAUUUAAGUACUGAUUUCAUCAUCAUAUGACCACAAUAAAGAAGUUGUGUGUAUAAAUAUUACUAACUGUUUGCAUCAGUGAUUUCAAUUCUGUUGGCCCUCCUUAAG